GUGGGGAAUUUUGGACAAUGGGCGAAAGCCUGAUCCAGCCAUGCCGCGUGCAGGAUGAAGGCCUUCGGGUUGUAAACUGCUUUUGUACGGAACGAAAAGACUCCUUCUAAUAAAGGGGGUCCAUGACGGUACCGUAAGAAUAAGCACCGGCUAACUACGUGCCAGCAGCCGCGGUAAUACGUAGGGUGCAAGCGUUAAUCGGAAUUACUGGGCGUAAAGCGUGCGCAGGCGGUUAUAUAAGACAGAUGUGAAAUCCCCGAGCUCAACCUGGGAACUGCAUUUGUGACUGUAUAGCUAGAGUACGGUAGAGGGGGAUGGAAUUCCGCGUGUAGCAGUGAAAUGCGUAGAUAUGCGGAGGAACACCGAUGGCGAAGGCAAUCCCCUGGACCUGUACUGACGCUCAUGCACGAAAGCGUGGGGAGCAAACAGGAUUAGAAACCCCAGUAGUCC
rnacentral:rRNA from 1 species